rnacentral:lncRNA from 1 species
UUUUGAAAGAAAAGUACUUUUGAAAUAUUAUGGUACAUCGAUUAUGCAUAUGUUCAGUGAAAAAUUAUGAUAUAUUAUGAUACAAAAGUGUUUUGAUACAGAUCAGAUUUAUGCUCUCAGCCUAACUAUGUUUCAGUGGGCUCCGCCAAUGGGGAUUAUACGUUGGUACUCAAUGGACCCUGCCAGUGGGGGUUGUGCGCUGGUAUUUAGUGGACCUUGCUAGUGGGG